rnacentral:rRNA from 1 species
GACGAACGCUGGCGGCGUGCCUAAUACAUGCAAGUCGAACGCUUUACUUUUCACCGGAGCUUGCUCCGCCGAAAAGUAAAGAGUGGCGGACGGGUGAGUAACACGUGGGCAACCUGCCCAACAGAGGGGGAUAACACUUGGAAACAGUUGCUAAUACCGCAUAAUUUGUUUUCCCGCAUGGGAGAAUAAUAAAAGACGCCUUACGGUGUCACUGUUGGAUGGGCCCGCGCUGCAUUAGUUAGUUGGG